GACAGAGGGUGCAAACGUUGUUCGGAAUUACUGGGCGUAAAGCGCGUGUAGGCGGCAGGGCAUGUCGGAUGUGAAAUCCCGUGGCUCAACCACGGAAGUGCACCCGAAACUGCCCAGCUUGAGUCUCGGAGAGGAAGGCGGAAUGCUUGGUGUAGAGGUGAAAUUCGUAGAUAUCAAGCGGAACACCGGUGGCGAAGGCGGCCUCUGGACGAUGACUGACGCUUAGACGCGAAAGCGUGGGGAGCAAACAGGG
rnacentral:rRNA from 1 species